CUACGGGACGCAGCAGUGGGGAAUAUUGCACAAUGGAGGAAACUCUGAUGCAGCAACGCCGCGUGGAGGAUGACACUUUUCGGAGCGUAAACUCCUUUUAUAUAGGAAGAAGAUGACGGUACUAUAUGAAUAAGCGCCGGCUAACUCCGUGCCAGCAGCCGCGAGUAAUACGGAGGGCGCAAGCGUUACUCGGAAUCACUGGGCGUAAAGAGCGUGUAGGCGGAUUAAAAAGUCAGAAGUGAAAUCCUAUAGCUUAACUAUAGAACUGCUUCUGAAACUCUUAAUCUAGAAUAUGGGAGAGGUAGAUGGAAUUUCUGGUGUAGGGGUAAAAUCCGUAGAGAUCAGAAGGAAUACCGAUUGCGAAGGCGAUCUACUAGAACAUUAUUGACGCUGAGACGCGAAAGCGUGGGGAGCAAACAGGAUUAGAUACCCUGGUAGUC
rnacentral:rRNA from 1 species